rnacentral:rRNA from 1 species
GACGAACGCUGGCGGCGUGCUUAACACAUGCAAGUCGAACGGAAAGGCCCUGCUUUUGUGGGGUGCUCGAGUGGCGAACGGGUGAGUAACACGUGAGUAACCUGCCCUUGACUUUGGGAUAACUUCAGGAAACUGGGGCUAAUACCGGAUAGGAGCUCCUGCUGCAUGGUGGGGGUUGGAAAGUUUCGGCGGUUGGGGAUGGACUCGCGGCUUAUCAGCUUGUUGGUGGGGUAGUGGCUUACCAAGGCUUUGACGGGUAGCCGGCCUGAGAGGGUGACCGGCAACAUUGGGACUGAGAUACGGCCCAGACUCCUACGGGAGGAAGCAGUGGGGAAGAUUGCACAAUGGGCGGAAGCCUGAUGCAGCAACGCCGCGUGCGGGAUGACGGCCUUCGGGUUGUAAACCGCGUGCGCCUGUGACGAAGCGUGAGUGACGGUAAUGGGUAAAGAAGCACCGGCUAACUACGUG